AGAGUUUGAUCAUGGCUCAGAUUGAACGCUGGCGGCAUGCCUUACACAUGCAAGUCGAACGGUAACAGGUCUUCGGACGCUGACGAGUGGCGAACGGGUGAGUAAUACAUCGGAACGUGCCCAGUCGUGGGGGAUAACUACUCGAAAGAGUAGCUAAUACCGCAUACGAUCUGAGGAUGAAAGCGGGGGACCUUCGGGCCUCGCGCGAUUGGAGCGGCCGAUGGCAGAUUAGGUAGUUGGUGGGAUAAAAGCUUACCAAGCCGACGAUCUGUAGCUGGUCUGAGAGGACGACCAGCCACACUGGGACUGAGACACGGCCCAGACUCCUACGGGAGGCAGCAGUGGGGAAUUUUGGACAAUGGGCGAAAGCCUGAUCCAGCAAUGCCGCGUGCAGGAUGAAGGCCUUCGGGUUGUAAACUGCUUUUGUACGGAACGAAAAAGCUUCUCCUAAUACGAGAGGCCCAUGACGGUACCGUAAGAAUAAGCACCGGCUAACUACGUGCCAGCAGCCGCGGUAAUACGUAGGGUGCGAGCGUUAAUCGGAAUUACUGGGCGUAAAGCGUGCGCAGGCGGUUAUGUAAGACAGAUGUGAAAUCCCCGGGCUCAACCUGGGAACUGCAUUUGUGACUGCAUGGCUAGAGUACGGUAGAGGGGGAUGGAAUUCCGCGUGUAGCAGUGAAAUGCGUAGAUAUGCGGAGGAACACCGAUGGCGAAGGCAAUCCUCUGGACCUGUACUGACGCUCAUGCACGAAAGCGUGGGGAGCCAACAGGAUUAGGGGCGAAUCCUUUAAAUCUGCAGGACUAGUC
rnacentral:rRNA from 1 species